UACGGAGGGAGCUAGCGUUGUUCGGAAUUACUGGGCGUAAAGCGUGCGCAGGCGGUUCGUUGUGUCCGAUGUGAAAGCCCCGGGCUUAACCUGGGAAUGGCAUUGGAAACUGGCGGGCUUGAGUGCGGCAGAGGGGGGUGGAAUUCCGCGUGUAGCAGUGAAAUGCGUAGAGAUGCGGAGGAACACCGAUGGCGAAGGCAGCCCCCUGGGUCGACACUGACGCUCAGGCACGAAAGCGUGGGGAGCAAACAGG
rnacentral:rRNA from 1 species